GCCUGUGGCCAUACCAGUCUGAAAGUGCGUGAUCUCGUCAGAUCUCAGAAGCCAUUCAGACUCGAGCCUGGUUAGUACUUCUAUGGGAGACCAACUAGGAACCCUAGGCGCUAUAGGCU